GGUAGAGAAUACCAAGGCGCUUGAGAGAACUCGGGUGAAGGAACUAGGCAAAAUGGUGCCGUAACUUCGGGAGAAGGCACGCUGACACGUAGGUGAAGUGAUUUACUCAUGGAGCUGAAGUCAGUCGAAGAUACCAGCUGGCUGCAACUGUUUAUUAAAAACACAGCACUGUGCAAACACGAAAGUGGACGUAUACGGUGUGACGCCUGCCCGGUGCCGGAAGGUUAAUUGAUGGGGUCAGCGCAAGCGAAGCUCCUGAUCGAAGCCCCGGUAAACGGCGGCCGUAACUAUAACGGUCCUAAGGUAGCGAAAUUCCUUGUCGGGUAAGUUCCGACCUGCACGAAUGGCGUAAUGAUGGCCAGGCUGUCUCCACCCGAGACUCAGUGAAAUUGAACUCGCUGUGAAGAUGCAGUGUACCCGCGGCAAGACGGAAAGACCCCGUGAACCUUUACUAUAGCUUGACACUGAACAUUGAGCCUUGAUGUGUAGGAUAGGUGGGAGGCUUUGAAGUGUGGACGCCAGUCUGCAUGGAGCCGACCUUGAAAUACCACCCUUUAAUGUUUGAUGUUCUAACGUGGACCCGUUACCCGGGUUGCGGACAGUGUCUGGUGGGUAGUUUGACUGGGGCGGUCUCCUCCUAAAGAGUAACGGAGGAGCACGAAGGUUGGCUAAUCCUGGUCGGACAUCAGGAGGUUAGUGCAAUGGCAUAAGCCAGCUUGACUGCGAGCGUGACGGCGCGAGCAGGUGCGAAAGCAGGUCAUAGUGAUCCGGUGGUUCUGAAUGGAAGGGCCAUCGCUCAACGGAUAAAAGGUACUCCGGGGAUAACAGGCUGAUACCGCCCAAGAGUUCAUAUCGACGGCGGUGUUUGGCACCUCGAUGUCGGCUCAUCACAUCCUGGGGCUGAAGUAGGUCCCAAGGGUAUGGCUGUUCGCCAUUUAAAGUGGUACGCGAGCUGGGUUUAGAACGUCGUGAGACAGUUCGGUCCCUAUCUGCCGUGGGCGCUGGAGAACUGAGGGGGGCUGCUCCUAGUACGAGAGGACCGGAGUGGACGCAUCACUGGUGUUCGGGUUGUCAUGCCAAUGGCACUGCCCGGUAGCUAAAUGCGGAAGAGAUAAGUGCUGAAAGCAUCUAAGCACGAAACUUGCCCCGAGAUGAGUUCUCCCUGAGACUUAGAGUCUCCUGAAGGAACGUUGAAGACGACGACGUUGAUAGGCCGGGUGUGUAAGCGCAGCGAUGCGUUGAGCUAACCGGUACUAAUGAACCGUGAGGCUUAACCUU
rnacentral:rRNA from 1 species